rnacentral:rRNA from 1 species
GACGAACGCUGGCGGCGCGCCUAACACAUGCAAGUCGAACGAGCGAGCGAGAGCUUGCUUUCUUGAGCGAGUGGCGAACGGGUGAGUAACGCGUGAGGAACCUGCCUCAAAGAGGGGGACAACAGUUGGAAACGACUGCUAAUACCGCAUAAGCCCACGGUGCCGCAUGGCACAGAGGGAAAAGGAGCAAUCCGCUUUGAGAUGGCCUCGCGUCCGAUUAGCUAGUUGGUGAGGUAACGGCCCACCAAGGCGACGAUCGGUAGCCGGACUGAGAGGUUGAACGGCCACAUUGGGACUGAGACACGGCCCAGACUCCUACGGGAAGCAGCAGUGGGGAAUAUUGCACAAUGGGGGAAACCCUGAUGCAGCGACGCCGCGUGGAGGAAGAAGGUCUUCGGAUUGUAAACUCCUGUUGUUGGGGAAGAUAAUGACGGUACCCAACAAGGAAGUGACGGCUAACUACGUG